CCCUUAGAUGUUCUGGGCCGCACGCGCGCUACACUGAUGCAUUCAACGAGCCUAGCCUUGACCGAGAGGUCCGGGUAAUCUUUGAAACUGCAUCGUGAUGGGGCUAGAUUAUUGCAAUUAUUAAUCUUCAACGAGGAAUGCCUAGUAAGCGUGAUUCAUCAAAUCGCGUUGAUUACGUCCCUGCCCUUUGUACACACCGCCCGACGCUCCUACCGAUUGAGUGUGUUGGUGAGGAGUUUGGAUUGGCCUCGGAAGGUGGUUCGCCACCGUCCGUAGCUGAGAAGUUCUCCAAACCGCCCCACUUAGAGGAAGGAGAAGUCGUAACA
rnacentral:rRNA from 1 species